AACUGCGAAUGGCUCAUUAAAUCAGUUAUCGUUUAUUUGAUAGUACCUUACUACAUGGAUAACCGUGGUAAUUCUAGAGCUAAUACAUGCUAAAAAUCCCGACUUCGGAAGGGAUGUAUUUAUUAGAUUAAAAACCAAUGCCCUUCGGGGCUCUCUGGUGAUUCAUAAUAACUUCUCGAAUCGCACGGCCUUGCGCCGGCGAUGGUUCAUUCAAAUUUCUGCCCUAUCAACUUUCGACGGCUGGGUCUUGGCCAGCCGUGGUGACAACGGGUAACGGAGGGUUAGGGCUCGACCCCGGAGAAGGAGCCUGAGAAACGGCUACUACAUCCAAGGAAGGCAGCAGGCGCGCAAAUUACCCAAUCCCGACACGGGGAGGUAGUGACAAUAAAUACUGAUACAGGGCUCUUUCGGGUCUUGUAAUUGGAAUGAGUACAAUUUAAAUCCCUUAACGAGGAACAAUUGGAGGGCAAGUCUGGUGCCAGCAGCCGCGGUAAUUCCAGCUCCAAUAGCGUAUAUUAAAGUUGUUGAGGUUAAAAAGCUCGUAGUUGAACCUUGGGCCUAGCCGGCCGGUCCGCCUCACCGCGUGCACUGGCUCGGCUGGGUCUUUCCUUCUGGAGAACCGCAUGCCCUUCACUGGGUGUGCCGGGGAACCAGGACUUUUACUCUGAACAAAUUAGAUCGCUUAAAGAAGGCCUAUGCUCGAAUACAUUAGCAUGGAAUAAUAGAAUAGGACGUGUGGUUCUAUUUUGUUGGUUUCUAGGACCGCCGUAAUGAUUAAUAGGGACAGUCGGGGGCAUCAGUAUUCAAUUGUCAGAGGUGAAAUUCUUGGAUUUAUUGAAGACUAACUACUGCGAAAGCAUUUGCCAAGGAUGUUUUCAUUAAUCAGGAACGAAAGUUAGGGGAUCGAAGACGAUCAGAUACCGUCGUAGUCUUAACCAUAAACUAUGCCGAUUAGGGAUCGGACGGCGUUAUUUCUUGACCCGUUCGGC
rnacentral:rRNA from 1 species